UCUGAUUGACAGACCAAGGCUCUGUCCAUUACCUCCUCAGAUCUCUAGGAAGAGCUAGCCUGCAGUUGUCUGUCUGCUUGAAGCAGUGUUAACCAUGAUGUUAUGGAAACCUUAAUCCAUGGGAACUCUGGCUGCUCUGAAGCUCAGAUUAGAUAGCCAAAAUAUUUUUAUUUUGAUGCCAAUACUUACUUGGUGUCAGAGGCCCAUACGUACCCACUGCUCAAUGAACCGAACAUAGCCAGACGUUUUGUAAAGACUCUGGCAGUGUCCGCAGUGUUUCUUCAUUCCUGUGAGAGGGAUCGGCAGUGCCCACCCUCUCCUUUUGUCUCCUCUUUGGUAUAUUAGGGUUGCUAAGACAGUGUUUAUUUGGUUUAUAGAAACGGACUCUGACCAGGCCCAGAGAGUGAACGAACUGCCCCACUUGUACUGCAGUUUGCCAGCUUCCCUGAGAAGAGGGACAAGGUCACUUAGGGAUGCUCCGUGGGUCAGGGCCUGGCGGGGAGGAGCAGACCUGUUUCCAGUGUUACUGUUUUGCAGUGUUAAUGCGAGUAUUAAAUUGUAUAACCCUGUAGAUGCUAGGCUAGGGUAGCUACUAACUUCUGAUAAGGUGUGUGGGAACCUCUUUCUAGGGAGCCCUCUUUAAACCCUGUGUGGCUUUACAUGUAGCAGUUUAUUCUCUGGUCCAACUUCCUAUUGCAAGAACUAGAUUCCCAAGUGUCCUAGUUUCUAUUUAGUUUUGUUUUUUGAUAUGUAUAUAGAAAGAUAAACCUAUUUUGUGGCCUUUAAUAAUGAGAACUAUCUCAGUAUUACUGUAUUAUUAUAGAAAAUGUAGUGUGCACAUGCAGGGUUGGUUUCUUUACCUGAGAGGGACAGGUAAGACACUGUAAGUUUACAGGCUCAGCAGACAUUGUGAAGUGCGGUAGAGUCCGCAGAUUUCAAACUGGCAAAUGGGCGCCCUUUGUUACUGAAAUUGGUGGUUUCUUUUGCUGGGUUUCAAUGGGAAGCAGUUAGCAAUGGUCUGCGUUCUGCCUGCUGCUCGUCGAGGGCUUUCCUGGUGCAGCAGGCUGGCUUAGCUCCUGAUGCCCUUCACUGGUAGUUUCUCCUUUUUUUCUUCAUAUUUUUCCCUUCAGUGUUGUUUGUUUGAUAGGAUGCCUUGUUAUUUUUAAUAUGAGCUGCAUGAGCCACAACACUUGGUUACAAAGGGGCAUUGUUUUUUAAACAUUUGAUUUUUAUUUAAAAACAAUUUCACAACAUGUAUACUAGCCUUUUGGACUCUGAAGUUAUUAAUUAGAGGCUAUUUUUCUGAAAAUGAAUCUAUAUUCUUUCACAGUGCCAAACCACCUAUCUUUGUGAAAUGAGUUAAUCCGGGUUUGGGGUGUCUUUUCCCACCUUUUAUUUGGGAAGGGGAGGUUGGCUUCUGACUGAGUUCAUGCCAAUGGACCUGUUAAUAAUCUGUGCUUGCUCGUGUUCUCUCUGUACGUUUGGAACAUUCCCAGAAUGGAACCUGUCAUGUUCAAGACAGCUCUCUUCAAAGGGAGGAGACCUUAAAUGCAGAUUGUUUCCUUCUGUUCUGUAAACCUCCAGUGGGGAAGGAGCAGUAUCCUUUUCUUCAGAGCGGUUGUUAAGAUGGGUUGAUGGCUAACUGUCAUGUGGCUGAGCAAGAUGGCCGCCUGAGUAGCAUACAGGAGAGGGUGAGCCGCAGGCAUGGCCUCGUGCACCCUGACUUUAUUUUACCGUUUUGCUCACCGUGAGAGCUAUUGCUCUCCUAGUAUGAGGGUCAAAAAGACAUCCUGGGGAAAUAAGAAAUGGGCUGGGCUGAUGGAGAUAAGGAAGAAGAAAAAACUUGGAUGAUUCCCAUCUAUAGACUGUAACCCUGUUUGGAAACCCUAACUCAGCUCUGAAGGGGACACUGUCUCUAACCCGUGCUGUUAAUUCUUUGUAUGAAGGUAGAUGGAUAUACUAAUAACAUUACCUGGUUCUUUCUGCAUAUCAUUGCACUCAACCUUUGGAGCCCUGCUGCUUAUGAUUUCCACCCCCCUAAAUUUACUCUCUCUGGCACGGCAGCAUCUUGACGUUCAGUCUUUAAGAUCCUUUGUUUGUCUGGCAGCAAGAGCUUAUUCCGGUCUGUGACUUUCUCAAAGAGUCAGCAAGCCCUCUGGGGCUACCUGCCUGUGAAGCAGUUCUUUUUGACAUGGAAAAUCUUUGUAUUUUAAUCAGCGCCUUAUUAUUUUUUGGCUGCGUCUCUGAUGUCUCUCUUCAGCAUAGACAUUUCUGUGUGAAUGUGCCGUUUGGGACUUGCUUUCUUCUCUCCCUCUGCAAACACUGGCCUGCAUGCUUACUCCGAUGACUCCUUUCUAGCUCUCUGUACCACUCUCUUCUGCGAUCUGUAAGUCCUGUGUUAAUAAACGAUUCUUUGGCAUAUUUUGAAACUGUG
rnacentral:lncRNA from 1 species